AUUGAACGCUGGCGGCAUGCCUUACACAUGCAAGUCGAACGGUAACGGGUCCUUCGGGAUGCCGACGAGUGGCGAACGGGUGAGUAAUAUAUCGGAACGUGCCCAGUAGUGGGGGAUAACUGCUCGAAAGAGCAGCUAAUACCGCAUACGACCUGAGGGUGAAAGGGGGGGAUCGCAAGACCUCUCGCUAUUGGAGCGGCCGAUAUCAGAUUAGCUAGUUGGUGGGGUAAAGGCCUACCAAGGCAACGAUCUGUGGUUGGUCUGAGAGGACGACCAGCCACACUGGGACUGAGACACGGCCCAGACUCCUACGGGAGGCAGCAGUGGGGAAUUUUGGACAAUGGGCGCAAGCCUGAUCCAGCAAUGCCGCGUGCAGGAAGAAGGCUUUCGGGUUGUAAACUGCUUUUGUCAGGGAAGAAAUCUUCUGGGCUAAUACCCCGGGAGGAUGACGGUACCUGAAGAAUAAGCACCGGCUAACUACGUGCCAGCCGCCGCGGUAA
rnacentral:rRNA from 1 species